GACGGACCGUACAAACGUUAUUCGGAAUUACUGGGCUUAAAGGGUGCGUAGGCGGCUCAGAAAGUUGAAUGUGAAAGCCCUCGGCUUAACCGAGGAAUUGCAUCCAAAACUACUGGGCUUGAGUGAGACAGAGGUGAGCGGAACUCACGGUGGAGCGGUGAAAUGCGCAGAUAUCAGGAGGAACACCAAUGGCGAAGGCAGCUCGCUGGAACGGUACUGACGCUGAGGCGCGAAAGCGUGGGGAGCGAACAGG
rnacentral:rRNA from 1 species